rnacentral:sRNA from 1 species
UGCCAACCGGGUGUCUGCACUGAGUUCGGCAUCAAUAUGGUAACUUUCUGGGAGCAGGGGGCCACCAGGUUGCCUAAGGAUGAGUGAACUGGCCCAGAUCAGAGAGGGAGCAGGUCAGAAUUCCCGCACUGACCGGUAAUGUGACUGUGCCUGGGCA